AAAAAAAAAAAAAGGCUGACCAACCAAUUCUAGUUACUUUACGCUUGCCCUGCCCCUUAAAGAAGAAAUGAACUCUAUAAAUAAAGGGCAAAGUGUACCAUACAUAGGCUUGAGCACGCAACUCAUAGUCUCCAACACUCCUUCUUCUAACCUCUCUUCCCAACUCUUCUUCUAAACCAAACCAGACCCAGAAUGGUAGGACCCUCGCUUGACCCCACCAAGCCCUCCACCAUCAAGUUCCUCUGCAGCUACGGCGGCAAAAUCCUCCCCCGUUAUCCCGACGGCAAGCUUCGUUAUCUCGGCGGCGAAACCCGCGUCCUCGCCGUCCACCGCAACAUUUCCUUUUCCGAGCUGUUGUUGAAGCUGGGUGAGCUGUGUGGGCCCUCCGUGACCGUGAGCCUACGUUGUCAGUUGCCCGCCGAGGAUCUCGACACCCUCGUGUCCAUAAAGUCCGAUGAGGAUCUGGCCAAUCUCAUCGAAGAAUACGACAGAGCAGCCGCCUCUGCAUCUCCACCGCCUUUUGCCAAUUUGAAGAUCAGAGCCUUCCUUUCCCUCGUCCCUCCCAAACCAUACAAAACGCCGUCGUCUACGCAGUCUUCCUCGGCCUCCGCCUCCACGACGUCGUCCUCCGGCACUUCCUCCUCGUCUAACUACUACUACAGCGCUGCUGCUUCCGGGUCCACUCCCAGGUUCCCCAUGGCGUCCACGCCAGUUGACCGCUGUGUCCGCCAAAUCUCACAGACUACAACGCCGUUUCAGAAAUCAGCCGCCAAGGUUCCUCACUGUGCUAAUAUUUGCCAUGCUCAUGGAAGCCCCAGUAGUCGGCUCUAUCUCAUUCACAACGGCAACCACUGGCAAUAACGACACAUGUGACACUCUCGGAGUCUCGGACUGAGUACUAUAAAUAUAUAUGCCACGGCCGGUUAAAUACUACCAAACAACUCCCCUUCCCUCCCCCCACCCCACGAAGGAGAAAAUACGAACAAAAAAAUGAAGAAGAUCAAAUAUCGUAUAGUAUUUGAUCAUAUGAUGUAAUGGGAUUGGCGCUAUAGCUGUAAUCGUUCAGAUGGAUUGCUUUUCAAUAUCCGUGGCGACUAAUGAAUUUCAGUCCAAUUUCGUUUUUACAUGUGCAUGUGUUCAUUCAUGAAUCAUGUUUGACAUUUUGACUCAGCAGGUUUAUGAAAGACACUAAAAAUGUAGCAAGCAGGUUGAUGCUGAUCGGGGAGACGGACAGAGCUUUCAAUUUUUGACUCAACCAGCAGCAUGUAUAGAUUCGAUCGAUGGGAUGGGAUGGGAAUGCAGGCAGAACUGGAGUCUCGAGAAACAGUGAUAUAGUUGGAAGCAUCGGAAUCUUUAUUGAUGGAAUUGGGGAGAAAACCAUAAAAAUACAUAUGUGUCCCAUACGUGACAGCUGGUGCUCGUUGCCUAGCUACUACUGGUUCAAGAAGCUGCACGUAAUUAGUUUAACUAAGAUAUUUAAACUCUAAAUAUAAAAACCAACAAAUGAAAAUAAAUAAUAGAAAAACACAAAUGACAGCUGCUGAUAGAGAUUUGAAGAGAGGCCGUCGGCAGUCCACUCACGUAGCAUUCACAAGGGAUGAGAUGAGAUUCCUUUGGCCCUUCAUUUCAGAUGAUUCCCAAUUAACCAAUUAAUUUAUGGAAAUUUAGAAAGGAGACAAAUCUGAAAGGGAUUUGAUGGAGCGUUGUUAGGUAUCCUGUGGGUAACAUUUAAUUAAUUAAGGGAUAAUUAAAGUGGUUUAAGGAUGAUCCCAUUCCUAUAGGCUAUACCUCUCUGCCUGCCCCCACCAUGCGUGUGAUCCUUUUUAUCUCGUCUUUGAUGAGAAAUAGAAAUGUGGGACUAAGAUAUGGAUAGAGAGAUCA